AAUCCAUGCUGAGGGCACCUCUGUAAAAGGUCUUUAAAUCUUUCCCAUGUCUCAAAAAGAGACUCCAACUCAGAUUGUAUACAAGUGGAGAUUUCAUUCUGAAGCU